rnacentral:rRNA from 1 species
AGCAGCCGCGGUAAUUCCAGCUCCAAUAGCGUAUAUUAAAGUUGUUGCAGUUAAAAAGCUCGUAGUUGAAUUUCGGGGUCAGUAGGCUGGUCAUGCCACAGGUAUGUACUGGUCUCACUGAUUCCUCCUUCCUGAUGAACCGUAAUGCCAUUAAUUUGGUGCUGCGGGGAAACUGGACUGUUACUUUGAAAAAAUUGAGUGUUUAAAGCAGGCUAACGCUUGAAUACAUUAGCAUGGAAUAAUGAAAUAGGACGUUCGAUCCUAUUUUGUUGGUUUCUAGGAUUGACGUAAUGAUUAAUAGGGAUAGUUGGGGGCAUUAGUAUUCAAUUGUCAGAGGUGAAAUUCUUGGAUUUAUUGAAGACUAACUACUGCGAAAGCAUUUGCCAAGGAUGUUUUCAUUAAUCAAGAACGAAAGUUAGAGGUUCGAAGGCGAUCAGAUACCGCCCUAGUUCUAACCAUAAACGAUGUCGACUGGCGAUCCGCUAUCGUUAACUGAUAGACUUAGCGGG